GACGAACGCUGGCGGCGUGCUUAACACAUGCAAGUCGAACGGAAAGGCCCUGCUUUUGUGGGGUGCUCGAGUGGCGAAAGGGUGAGUAACACGUGAGUAACCUGCCCUUGACUUUGGGAUAACUUCAGGAAACUGGGGCUAAUACAGGAUAGGAGCUCCUGCUGCAUGGUGGGGGUUGGAAAGUUUCGGCGGUUGGGGAUGGACUCGCGGCUUAUCAGCUUGUUGGUGGGGUAGUGGCUUACCAAGGCUUUGACGGGUAGCCGGCCUGAGAGGGUGACCGGCCACAUUGGGACUGGGAUACGGCCCAUACUCCUACGGGAGGCAGCAGUGGGGAAUAGUGCACAAUGGGCGGAAGCCUGAUGCAGCAACUCCGCGUGCGGGAUGACGGCCUUCGGGUUGUAAACCGCUUUCGCCUGUGACGAAGCGUGAGUGACGGUAAUGGGUAAAGAAGCACCGGCUAACUACGUG
rnacentral:rRNA from 1 species